rnacentral:SRP_RNA from 1 species
UUGCUGUGAUGGCGUUUGGCAGAAGUGCGCUGUUUGUGUGCUUUCUUGUCUUUACUACAGACGAAGUGUCCGGGUCGAUCCCUGCGGUCGGGUUUCUGGGGAUUCGAGUAAUCAAUCCUACCAGAUCCUAGCAAUGAGUGGUGGUAUCACUCGAGGGAAGAAAUUCAGCACAGUUCAUCACCCGUGGUGGAGGCGAAACGGAUGGCAUCUUCUCUGGUCUUGGUAGGGAUUUGAAAGCAUCUGGUGUUACGACUCCGAUUCUUUCUUU